rnacentral:rRNA from 1 species
GACGAACGCUGGCGGCGCGCCUAACACAUGCAAGUCGAGCGAUGAAAUUUUAACCGAUCUCUUCGGAGAGAAGAUAAAAUGGAUUAGCGGCGGACGGGUGAGUAACACGUGAGAAACCUGCCUUUCACAAGGGGAUAGCCUCGGGAAACCGGGAUUAAUACCCUAUGACACAUUUCCUUCGCAUGGAAGAAAUGUUAAAACUCCGGUGGUGAAAGAUGGUCUCGCGCCUGAUUAGCUAGUUGGUGGGGUAACGGCCCACCAAGGCCAUGAUCAGUAACCGGCCUGAGAGGAUGAACGGUCACAUUGGAACUGAGACACGGUCCAAACUCCUACGGGAGGCAGCAGUGGGGAAUAUUGCACAAUGGAGGAAACUCUGAUGCAGCGACGCCGCGUGAGCGAUGAAGGCUUUCGAGUCGUAAAGCUCUGUCCUAUGGGAAGAUAAUGACGGUACCAUAGGAGGAAGCCCCGGCUAACUACGUG